rnacentral:lncRNA from 1 species
UCUCCUUCUGUGUCUCUCAUGAAUAAAUAAAUAAAAUCUUUAAAAAGAAAAAAGAAAGAAAGGGAGGCAGACAGGGUGGGCCUGGUGGGGAGAUGGCCUGUGGGCAUCCAAGAGGAGCUUAGAGGUGAGUGAUUACCAUUUUAGGCCACUGGAGUUGCAUACUUGAGGACAAGGAAGCAGGGAUUCAAACAGGAUAAGGACACGACAGGGUUUGCUUCUGGUGAGGACCACUAGAUCACGUGCCACCAAGGGGAGGAUGGACAGGAGGAAGUGACAAGGAGUGGGGGGACCAUGGGGUAUAAAGGGUGCAGUCUGUAGGUCCCCAGACCAGCCAUUUCCUCCCUAUCCUCUGUUCUAGUGGUGGAUUACCCAAAAUCUAGUUUUAGGGACAAUUUUGACCUCUUCUCUUUAAUACUCAGAGCUGGAACCACUUCUGCUGACAAAGGAAUUCUAGAAGGCUGGUUUCAGGUCAUGGAUUCUCUUCUUUACUCCUCCGUCAGUGGAGGUUCAGCAAAUCCCAAAAUAGUCAUGAACAGAGGGGCAGAAGGCAGGAGGGGUAGGGGAAGGGGCAGGUGGGGACUCGCAGGUCACCACCUUUGAGGCCCUGACAGGUGGCCAUGAAAUUAACAGCCGCCCUUCCUUGUUCCCUGCAACCACAGAGUCGGCUCAGCAUCCCUGUGAGAGUCCGUGCAAAGUUCACUUAUUGGGAGGUGAUGUUGUUGAAGGAGCUUCAUCCUGCUUUAGAAAACAGGAGACAGAUAUUUCUUUUUACUCCCUCACUGCCUCUUGUUCUUUUUUUUUUUUUUUUUCUCUUUUUUUUUACAUUUUUUUUAAGGGACUCAAACCAACAGCAUUUGCACACCAUUAAACCCAAGCAGUUAUGAUGACUGUACUAAAAAUCCAUAAAUGAGAAAAAUAGAUCUUUCCUGCAAAUGCAGAAUAUUGGUAUUUCUCAAACUUGCUCCAAAUCAGUAGGGAAAUUACGCACUGAUGGGCCUUCUGAAGCCGGAGCCAAGGACAGCAGGACAAAAACAGCAAGUGCAGCUUCUGAAGGACAGGCACUCGGGAGUGUGCACUUGCUGGCUGCAGUAUGGAGUCUCCUCUAAAUUAAGACCUUUCAUCCACUCGAAAAGCACUGAGCACCUACUACGUGCCAGGUGCUCCACCUGGCCCCAGGGCAUAGGACAUGUCCAGCUGCUCCUCCCGGCCUGGCCAGGACCUUGGAGUGAGGGAGAAGAAAAGUUUGGUGACCUAUGA